rnacentral:lncRNA from 10 species
GCCGGCUCCACACCCCACCCGCCCCGCCCGCGCUCGGCCCCCACAGUCGCUUGGGGGUGGCCCGGAGGGUUGAGGUGCUCGCAGUGGAGCCCUGGCCCCCGGGCCGACGGAGCUGCACGGUAGUAGAUGGGGGUGUGGCCGUGGCCCCGACUCUGCUCGGCGGGGCCGUUCCUGCCUUGCUGUCCGUGUGGGACUUGCACGACACCCCGUAUGCUGCUUGCCCUGCUUGGGAAAGAGGCGGCUGCUGGAAAGGACCGAUCGGCGGGCACGCCAGCCCGGCCCACCCCUCGCCUCCAUGUGGGUCAGGCUUCUCAUCGCAGCAUGCUUUGGCCCAGUGUCCGUGGUCCUGACCCUGCUCCGGAAGUGUCUGCAGAGCAUCUGUGCCCCCCGCCCCUCCCCGGGCCCAGCUGUGUGCAGCUCCUGUCCUACCCAGCACAAGCACUCGACCCGGGUAGCUCCCAGUGUCGGGGUCCUGUUCAUCAAAUGCCUUCCAAUUGCACAGGUCAGGUGCACACCUUACACCUUCACAGAACUUUGAGGGGUGAAAAGGGAGAUUUUACUUGUGUUCCUCAUUCAAUGGACAAGUAUCAGUAUCUGGGUGCCCCUGUGGGCCAGGCAGUGGGACCAGAAGCCAGCAACAUAGAUGGGCCUGGAUCUGAUGCUAGGGGCGUAGAGUGAGUUGUGGGGAGCAGGCAGGGAAGGCCUGAGUGAGAGGCGGGAGGGCUGAGAGGGGAGGGUGUUGCGCUGCUGAGGGGGGUGAGGGCCUGAAGGGGGAGGUCAGAGGUCAGAGGGCCCUGGAGGACAGACUGCCUCUCGAAGCUGUACCCAGAGGCCUGGCCGACUUGACUGCAGAACCCUGUGACUGCCAUGUUAUCAGGCCAGGCAAGCAAAGGCAGGGGCUCGGAAGUCCAUAGGGACAAAGGAGGCAGGGCUGCUGCUUAUUCAGCCCAAAUAACACUCCUGAGAGGUGGGCACAGGUGAGGUCAGGGAAGCUCAAUGAAGAUGGGCCAGCACCUGGUCCAGGCCACACACAACCACCUGACCCCGCUGAGCCCGCCUGUUGUCUCCGCUGUGGGAAAAUGCAGGUGUGGGCAGUUGGCAGUGGGUGAAGGUCAGUGCCCUCCCUGCCCCCUCGGGUCACUCUACAACUCCCCAAUCAUUCCCCCAUCUCCUCUGGCCCCUUGGGCCUGCUCUCCACUCCCCUGGCUUCUGCCCCUCGGCACAGAGCAUCCCUGAAGUCCAUGGAUGGAGUCAGGUGAGCUGGGCAGUUGAUGGUGGAGGUGGGAUUUGAACCCAGGACCCUCUGCCCCCUCACAGCCCUCAAUAUAUUGGGCUUUGGACCACAUGCCUUCCUUCCCAUAGAGCUUUCUACAGGCAGGCAUCCCUCCAGGCCAUGCAGAAACGUCCUGGGCCCCAUUCCCCAGCCUCCUUUGCACAUCGAGGCCCCGCUUUCCAUGGGGAUCAAAGGGCUUGAGUACCAGCCUGACCCUGGUGCAGUCACUGAGGUCACUGUCUUGCUGGCCUUCUCUGGGUGCUGGGCCUGCUGGGCCUGUCUCUGCCCCUCUUCCCUCUUGCCUGUCUGAUGCAGAGUGACCCAUCCCCUUCAGAGCACUUGCUGCUGUGGGGCACCAAGACCCUUCUUCAAGAUGAAACAGAGUCUCAGAGAAAUGAUGAAAUAAUACGUGAUUGUCCCAGUAGAUGAACUCAUUCUAGGUACUCAGUCAAUCCCCAAGACACAGAAUCCUGAGGUCCAGGCUGCAGGGAGUUUGGCCAGAGGACACCAGGGCUGGCUGUCAUCACAUGUCACAAGUACAUCAGGGUGUGAGUGACUGCCACUCCUGGACAGAGACUGCCUCCCUUCCUUGUCUGUCUGCUCCUGCUCAAGCCCCUUCUCCCUGGCCUCCCUCUCUAUCCUUCCCUUCCUGAAACCCCUCCUGCCAUCUCUCUGUCCCCCCCUUGUCAGCUGACUUCUGAGCUGUGUAUACAGUCUGGGCUUGGGUCAAGGCCAAGGGCAGCAACAGCCCAGAAAGAGUAAAGUGCCCGGUGCCUGGGGAGAAGGGCUGGCUGAGGGGCGAGUGCACAGGGCUCCACCCCCUGGCCACGGUUGGGGAGAGACACUGGCUGCCAUUGAGCUACCCUUCUGGACCCCAGUUCUGACCUCUGCCCCUCCUUCCAGAUCUGCUCUUGGCUUCAGGCAGUCAGCUGGAGCCCCCUGCCAGGAGGAGGGGUUUGUCUGAGUUCCUGUAGUUCCCGCUUCUGUGCAGCCUGCUGGGCAGGGGGCUGGGAGGGAGGAAAAGGAAGCAGGGCCUAGGGAAGCCCCAGGUUCUGCAAAGAGCUCAUGUCAGGGAGAAAAGUAAGGUCUGCCCAGAAACCUCGGGGCUUUCAGAGUUCAGGGAUUUUGUAGGCCGUGGGCCUGUUUGUCAGAAUGGGACAGGGGUGGUUUCCUUUCCUGCUCCGUGUGUGUGUGUGUGUGGGGUGUGUGUGUGGGUGUAUGUGUGUGUGUGGGGUGUGUGUGUGGUGUAUGUGUGUGUGGGGGGGGUGUGUGUGUGUGUUUGGGGGGGUGGGUGUGUGUGUGUGGGGUGUGUGUGUGUGUUUGGGGGGGUGGGUGUGUGUGGGGGGUGUGUGUGUGUGGGGGGGUGGGUGUGUGGGGUAUGUGUGUGGGGAGGGUGGGUGUGUGGG